CCUACGGGAGGCAGCAGUGGGGAAUAUUGGACAAUGGGCGCAAGCCUGAUCCAGCCAUGCCGCGUGAGUGAUGAAGGCCCUAGGGUUGUAAAGCUCUUUUGUGCGGGAAGAUAAUGACUGUACCGCAAGAAUAAGCCCCGGCUAACUUCGUGCCAGCAGCCGCGGUAAU
rnacentral:rRNA from 1 species